rnacentral:misc_RNA from 1 species
UCCAAAGUCAAGUCGGGCCUGAUAAGGCCUUGCGUCUACACCCAUUGUCUUUUGCGUACCGUAUGUUUCCUCGGCGGGCGUAAGCCUGCCGAUUGGACAAUUCUCAAAACCUUUUUGUAAUUGCAAUCAGCGUCUAGAAAACUAUAAUAAUUAUUA